GGACCAGUCACCUAGACAGGAUAUGAUUUCAGAAACCUGAAAGGGUGCCGGCCCUCUAAGCCGGAAUUCGAGAGUUCAAAUCUCUCCUGGUCCGCCA
rnacentral:tRNA from 1 species